GUUCGUGUCUCAGCUAAGGCUAAGGCUGAGGCGAACAACAGAGAGAGACAACCAUAGAGUCGACUCUGUAAACCAGCACCAGGUCAGAGGCCAGAGAGGGAUGAACAUACGGAGAGCUCAGUGCGCUAGAAGGUGAGAACUAUAUUUGAUGAACGAAUGAAGGGGAAACGUUAUGUACUUGAAUGCUGCUCCCAUUGGCUGGGAUUCUCUUAUGUAAAAGCAAAAGCAUCUAGUGUUUGGUUUUUGGCCUUCUUCUUGUGUGUGUGUUUGGGUGUUUGGUGUUUGGGUGUGCUUCCGUCCAGGUCAACGCGAUUCAUUUUCCGCAGAUCCAUCAUCGUCAGCAGACGUUCUGUCUGUCCGCAGUAGGAGGAUGUGUGAUAGGAUACGGAUAGGUGUACGUAACAGGAUAUUGAAGAAGCGAAACGAAAAGAGGAGGAAUAAGCCAAGGACUGCUGUUCGAAGAAUGUUUAAAGAGCUUAAAGUCUCCAAAGAUGGAGUUUUUAGAGGCUUAAAGUUUCCAGAGCUGAAAGAAUCGCUCUUCUCCGACGGAAACGAAAAGUUACAGUGUUUUAUUUUGUUUGGAAAGCAUCUACCGUCAAUAAAAAGAAGAUACUUCCUUCGCACAAUAGAGAAAGUGAGGAUUUAUGGAGAAUUGACAGUCCACCAGUAGAAAAGUACUCAAACUACGUAGAACUUUCGCUAGUGUUUCAAAGGGAUAUACUAAAUUCGAUGCAUACCAAGGGCUAUAGAUGUAGAAAUGUGCUCCUAAAUGAUGGACUCUAAAGGAGAAUAUCGCCACCCUUGUAGGAUCUUUUUAUUUAUUUGGAACAACGAUCUUGGAUCGACCUUCAGUGGCUUGCUCGCAGGGGCUCUCUCUCUGGCUGUCAGAUGUCGUUUUGAAUUUUCAGUUUGAAAAUCUCCAAGAUUGCAAAAAACAAAGAAUUUUAAAGGGUGCUUUCCGAAAUAUUUCGACCUCAUUUCGGCCCCAAAUGGUUACGAAAUCAAACACAAUUUCGGACGUGUAUCGAACUGAAGUAUCACAUAAACAUGUACAUAUAUAUAUCUUUCUCAUCUUAUUACUUUUUAUUCUUUUAUUUCUACGGCCCUGCCGCUUAUGGAGAAAGGUCCCCGGAAGGUGCCGCCUGUCGAUCCCCUGCGAGCGCUUCAUGGUCCAAAAUGAGACUUUGGGAAGGGUGUUCAAAUCUUGUAUAUCAUCGCCACCUGCUCCGCAAGGAUCAUCUACAAUCAACGAUCGAUCAUGGAUUCCGAUCCCAAAAAUGCAAAUCAAGCCCAGAUCGGCCCACAAAUCUUAGACAACAUAAUAAUAUGUUAAGAAAACAUAUUAAAAAGAAUUAAUUUUACUGCAUGGUAACUACACGGUAACUACACGUCAACUACAAAUUUCGCUACACAUUGGAUGUAAUUUUAAACAGCGCCAUCUGAUGGGGAAAUGCGUACGUUUGGUGACAAGCUUGUCUUUUUUUUUCAAAUAGGUCCUUUAUCCACUUUUUUGUAUGACUUUUGAGAUUUUGUUGCCAAUCGAUCGGAAAUCCGACGCUGAUCAGUGAUCACGAUGGAGGUGAUAGGAGGGGGUGGGACAUGCCACAAAAUGGAUUUGUUAAAUAUGCACUGAGCGAAUGCAAAUCGAAGUACAUGAUUGGAUGUGAUUAAAAAUUAUUGCCUUCGAUAGAGAUAGGAAAAGCCCCCGA